UACGGGGGGGGCAAGCGUUGUUCGGAAUUACUGGGCGUAAAGGGCUCGUAGGCGGCCCACUAAGUCCGACGUGAAAUCCCCAGGCUUAACUUGGGAACUGCGUCGGAUACUGGUGGGCUUGAAUCCGGGAGAGGGAUGCGGAAUUCCAGGUGUAGCGGUGAAAUGCGUAGAUAUCUGGAGGAACACCGGUGGCGAAGGCGGCAUCCUGGACCGGUAUUGACGCUGAGUGAGCGAAAGCCAGGGGAGCAAAACGGGG
rnacentral:rRNA from 1 species